rnacentral:rRNA from 1 species
AUUGAACGCUGGCGGCAGGCUUAACACAUGCAAGUCGAGCGAGCGGCGGACGGGUGAGUAAUGUCUGGGAAACUGCCUGCUGGAGGGGGAUAACUACUGGAAACGGUAGCUAAUACCGCAUACUCUCAGAUGUGCCCAGAUGGGAUUAGCUAGUAGGUGGGGUAAUGGCUCACCUAGGCGACGAUCCCUAGCCGGUCUGAGAGGAUGACGGUACAAACGGGAACUGGGACAGGGAACAGACUCAUACGGGAGGCAGCAGGUGGGAAUAUUGCACAAUGGGCGCAAGCCUGAAGCAGCCAAGCCGCGUGUGUGAAGGAGGCCUUCGGGUUGGAAAGCACUUUCAUCGAGGAGGCGUUACUCGCAGAAGAAGCACCGGCUAACUCCGAGGCAGCCGCCGAGAUAAUAC